AAGUGUGAAGUGUGAAUCAGACUUUCUUUGUCAAUCAGCAACUUUUAAUUUAUGAGUGCUACCCUGACUGGCUCAGUGUGUGCCUAUGCCACGCUGGCAGGCAUGGAUAACCCAUUGAAUCCCAUUCAUGAUGGGGAUUGGGGAUUGCAAUUAUUCCCCAUGAACGAGGGAUGCUCAGAAAGUGCAGGUCAUAUGCUUGUGUUGAUUAA
rnacentral:ncRNA from 1 species